rnacentral:rRNA from 1 species
UACGAAGGGGGCUAGCGUUGCUCGGAAUCACUGGGCAUAAAGCGCACGUAGGCGGGUUCUUAAGUCAGGGGUGAAAUCCUGGAGCUCAACUCCAGAACUGCCUUUGAUACUGGGAAUCUCGAGUCCGGGAGAGGUGAGUGGAACUGCGAGUGUAGAGGUGAAAUUCGUAGAUAUUCGCAAGAACACCAGUGGCGAAGGCGGCUCACUGGCCCGGUACUGACGCUGAGGUGCGAAAGCGUGGGGAGCAAACAGG